rnacentral:rRNA from 1 species
UAUUAAACUGGCGAACGGGUGAGUAACACGUAGGUAACCUGCCUUGAAGAUUGGGAUAACUCCGGGAAACCGGAGCUAAUACCGAAUAAUGCAGCGAAUCCAUAGGGAUAUGUUGUUAAAGCGGGCUUCGGCUCGCACUUCGAGAUGGGCCUGCGGCCGAUUAGCUUGUUGGUGAGGUAAUGGCUCACCAAGGCGAUGAUCGGUAGCUGGUCUGAGAGGAUGAUCAGCCACACUGGGAUUGAGAUACGGCCCAGACUCCUACGGGAGGCAGCAGUGGGGAAUUUUGCGCAAUGGACGAAAGUCUGACGCAGCAACGCCGCGUGAUUGAUGAAGCUUUUAGGAGUGUAAAGAUCUGUCGUGAGGGAAGAAAAACCUGGAUGUAAAUAAUGUUCAGGCGUGACGGUACCUCACAAGAAAGCACCGGCUAACUUCGUGCCAGCAGCCGCGGUAAUACGAGGGGUGCUAGCGUUGUCCGGAAUUACUGGGCGUAAAGGGUCCGUAGGCGUCUUGACAAGUUGAUCGUUAAAUCCACCGGCUUAACCGGUGAUCUGCGGUCAAAACUUGCAGGAUAGAAUAUGUGAGAGGAAAGUAGAAUUCCUGGUGUAGCGGUGACAUGCGUAGAUAUCAGGAGGAACACCAAUGGCGAAGGCAGCUUUCUGGCACAAUAUUGACGCUGAGGGACGAAAGCGUGGGGAGCGAACAGGAUUAGAUACCCUGGUAGUCCACGCCGUAAACGAUGAGUACUUGGUGGUGGGAGAUUCGACCCUCUCACUAUCGGAGCUAACGCG